rnacentral:rRNA from 1 species
AUUGAACGCUGGCGGCAGGCCUAACACAUGCAAGUCGAACGAGCGGCAGACGGGUGAGUAAUGCCUGGAAAUUGCCCAGUCGAGGGGUAUAACAGUUGGAAACGAAUGCUAAUACCGAAUACGAUUGGAUUGCCCAGGUGGGAUUAGCGAGUUGGUGAUGUAAUGGCUCACCAAGGCGACGCUCCCUAGCUGGUCUGCGAGGAGGAUCAGCCACACUGGAACUGAGACACGGCCCAGACUCCUACGGGAGGCAGCAGUGGGGAAUAUUGCACAAUGGGGGAAACCCUGAUGCAGCCAUGCCGCGUGUGUGAAGAAGGUCUUCGGGUUGUAAAGCACUUUCAGCGGGGAGGCGUUACUCGCAGAAGAAGCACCGGCUAACUCCGUGCCAGCAGCCGCGGUAAUUC